rnacentral:lncRNA from 1 species
CGAAGUCUAUUGACCCAAAUCCAGCUCGGGUCACGUCACUCACCAGGUAGCUCCGAACCACCGUGAAAUGCGGCCGAGCCUUCACCACCAUUAAAUCUGCCACCGAUCUCAUGUACUCCUCUGUAACCAACCCUUUUGCUUUCUUCACUAACUGUAAAGUAUACCCUAAUGGGUUUGCAUGUAUUUUCUUUGCUUGACUUAUAGCAACAGCAAAAGCGAACCCAUUACCAUAAUAACCAGUGGGUAAUGGUGGGUUGAAUUUAGUACGGGAGUUAACGAUGCAUAUAAUCCGCAUUUCUUCUUCCGGGUCUGGUUGGAGGGCGAUGGUACGACAACGCCAUAGACACGCAGUUAGGACUUCGAAGUUGGAAGAGCGACGAAGGUGAGGAGGGAGGAGACGACAAAUGGCGGCCAUUUCAGUAUGACCGAAGAAGAAAGAGCGGUGGAUCAUGUCAUCGACAGGGAUGAUGGUGCCCUUAAUGUCCUCCACCUCGUCAUAUUCAUGGUGAACACAGGUCACUCGCGGCGGGUCUCUCGCGGUUAGUAAGUGUCUUUCCCAGACGGGUUGGACAGAGGGAGAGUUUGCUCCUCGGGCCAUCUCCGCCACAGCAGUCAUGAACUGGACGAG